AUUCAGCUUUUGCGGUGGCUUCCUCCCAGGUCUUAUUUAUUUAGUCAAGGUGCCGGAUGUUUCAUUUAUAGUUAUCUAAAUCUUUUAUGUGGGCCCGCUGGUUUGCAGGAAAGUGGGUGGAAAAGGGGAUCCGGGCCAGAGCCCCAGGCAGGCAGAGGAGCUCUGAGGACGCAGGGGGGGCAGGGUGCCCGCUUUCUAGAGCAAACUUUCUCGUGUGCUGGGGAGGGACUGCUGCCUCUUUGUGCUCCCAUCUCGUCUGGAGAGAGCGGCUGGACACCCCUCUUCCUGCCCACAGUCCACACCCAGGGGGCUUGGGAGAAGAAUAUCUUUCACUACAGAGCUGGAAAAUGACUUCAUUACUCAAAUGCAUGAACUUUUAUUUACAAAGAACAUCUUGUUUUCAGCCUAAAGAGGUGCAUUGUGAGGGACCUGAAACAAGGCUUGCAGUGUAAGAGCCUGUCAAAUAUACUGCCCACAGCCCCGACCUCUUCCUCUUGGCCUGCAGUCUCAAGCCUACAGCAUCUGUCUGAAUCCUGAAAGCUUUCCAAGGCUUUGGGAGUAAGUAGCUGGGCUACAGUUGGACCAGGGGCACUUCAGCAGACUGGCUGUGGCCGCCAAGGCUGAGAGGUACCUGUGUUGACAUUGGCUGCCUGCUGGGGCUUUAAGCAUUUCCCUGAGACCCAUGCAUAGUGGAAACAUGCAGUGAGACACCAGACAAUGACACCCAGGGAAGUUCCUAGGUGUCUGAAAUCACAAUCAUGCAAGAAAGGGUUUUCCUACAACCUAAGCGUUAUCCAUUUCCUAAGUCAUGUUAUCCAAGCCACGAUUAUUUUGCACUUUUGUGCCUAUCAUGUGCUAGAUACUUGGCCAAUGUUAUUGUGAAUCUCACAGUAUCCCUGCUGGGGGCAUGGGGGUGGGGCUAUUAUUUUUUCUUUAUAUAAUAGAAGAAAGAGAGGUUCUGAGAGAGUAGGAUAUUUGCCCAAGGUCGCACACCUAGUAGAAAGCUGAGGUGAGGUUUGAAUCUGGGCCUCACCGAUUCCAAACUUUCUUAACAUCUAUACCACGUUGAGACUCGCAAAAUAAAGAUGCACAAAUUCAGAGGCAGGAGAGAGAGAGAGGCACUCCUGUUUGUUGAGUGCCUCCUGUGUGGCAAAAAUUUUGCAUGGACUACUCAUUCAAUCUUGUCUUUGUGAUAAUCCUGCAAAGUGGGUAUUGGAAGACACCCUUGGCAAUGGGGAAAUAACAGAAGUAUUAGCACAGCUCAGGUAAAAGUGAUGGGAAGGUCCUUGAGAUUGAAUGAGAAAAUGUGUUAUGAAAAUGCCAAAGCUGGAAGAAGCGAAGAGAGUUCUUUGGGAUUCCAUGCUGUUUGUGGUAUUUUCACUUGAAGAUAUAAAUAUAGUCUGUAAGGAACCAUUAAGCUACAUUGUGUUCAUCUUCUUCCACAUACAUUCUUCUACAUGGUAGGCUUACCUACUUAAUUAAGCCAAGGAACUUAAAAAUGUAUGGUUUGGUUGGUAUUUUUAGUGACUUAUAUUGGGUAAGAAGAUCACUAGAUCCUGAGAACAAUAAUGCUCAACUCUCCUGUCCCAUACUCCCUGUAAAAAGAACAUCAAAAAUACUGUUAAAUAGGGCUGGUGUUGGGGCUGGCGCCGUGGCUCACUUGGUUAAUUCUCCGCCUGCGGCACCGGCAUCCCAUAUGGGUGCAGGUUCUAGUCCUGGUUGCUCCUCUUCCAGUCCAGCUCUCUGCUGUGGCCCGGGAGGGCAGUGGAGGAUGGCCCAAGUGCUUGGGCCCCUGCACUUGCAUGGGAGACCAGGAAGAAGCACCUGGCUCCUGGCUUUGGAUCAGCACAGUGCCAGCCCUGGCGGCCAAUUGGGGAGUUGGGGAGUGGUGAACCAAAGGAAGACCUUUCUCUCUCUGUCUCUCUCUCACUGUGUAUAACUCUACCUGUCAAAUAAAAAAAAAAAUGACCACAUGGUGUGUGCCAUGUCCUAAGACCUAAUCAUGAUUAAAAAAAAAAUAGGGCUGGUGUUGUGGCACAGCAGGUAAAGCCACCUGCAAUGCAAGCAUCCUGUAUGGGAGCCAGUUUGUGUCCCAGCUGUUGCUGCUAAUGGCCUGGGAAAGGCAGCAGCAGAUGGCCCAAGUGUUCCUCAUGUGGGAGACCGAGAUGAAGCUCUUUACUCCUGGCUUUGGCCUGGCUCAGCCCUGACCUUUGGGGCCAUUUAGGGAGCGAACCAGCAGAUGGAAGAUCUCUCUGUCUUUCUCUCUUUCUCUGCAACCCCUUCAAAUAAAUAAAUAAAUAAAUAAAUAAAUAAAUAAAUCUGUAAGAAAUACCAUGAAAUAUAUUUAUUAUUCUGACUUCAGGUACAGAAUGCUUCGGCACACUCAUACUUAUUGUAUUUGUUUUCUGAAGGAUUAUAUCCUGUUUUUUAGCUGUCAAUCAGAUGCUGUUUACUGAACUGGUACCUCUUCUCCCUGCCAGCAGGUCAGGUUCUGUAAGAAUGCCUGAGCAAAGAGGGUGUUUGUUUAAGAUCUGAGAACGUUUAAUUUUUGAUUAAGCAUAUGCUUAAUUUUUCCCCUUCAUCUACCUCCUGCAGGUACAAUUGCUAGUUUUGAGGCAAUAGGGCACGAUCCACAGGAGCUUGGGUUUUUGUAUGAAAUAAGACAGGGUUCAAAUCCUGGCCCUGUUUACAGCAGUUCUGGGGGAUGGACACGCAAUUUCUUCUCUCUGAACGUCAGUUUCCUCAUCAUAAAAUGGGGAUGAUGCUUCCUCUGUCACUGUUCCUAUGAAUAGUAAAUGAAAUCAUGUAAACAAAGCACUCCCACAGUGCUCAAUGAAUGCUGUUGAAUUUUGCUAUUUCCAAGUCCUUACUGGGAACAGAAUGGUUCUUUAAAGAGGAAAAGCAGCCGUGUUUAUUUAUCCUGUGACUCAGGUAACCUCCCGUAUGCUGAGAAUAGCCACUCCUGUUUCUGACAGCCCCUGGGCCUGUCCCUGAAUUAACCGUGAACACAGCAGUCAUGGAUCAUAGAACAACAAGGCAGGCAGGCGAGGAGAGGCCAGUGAUGACUAUCUUAGAGCAAAUUAGAAGGCAGUAGAACAAAGAGAAUCAUCUCUCACCGAAGGGCUACUCCCAGAACAUCAAAGGCCUGAGUUAGGAGGAUUUUAUUUCUGUUAAAAGUACAGUUGGGAAAAAAAAAAAAGUACAGUUGGGGAGCAUUUUCAGCGUGGCUGCUUUCUGAUAAUACCCCUCCCUUUUUCUCUCCCCUGGGAUUGAGGACAGGGGGUCACCAAGGACCUUCCUGGCUGUUAUCUCCUUUGGGACUUAGACCUACUUGUGGAUCAAGAGAGUCCUGCUGGUCACAUGGACGAAAGCAUGGGUGUUCAGAGAGGUGGCUUGGCUGAGGACACAAAGCCAAUGGAUACAAAAUGAGGGCCCCACACCUUCCAACCUCCACACCGACGGUUUCCCAACUCGACCGAGCUAUUUUUGGUUUUGGCAGCAGCAGAUCUGGUGGUUUUGAGGCUUUAUCAAAAGAAGGUUCUGGAAUUCCCUUGUGAGUCCCCCAGUGCAGUUAUCAGCAGAUAACCAUCAGGGCCACCGACUAACUUCAGCACUUGGCUGUUGGGCCUGUCCUCAGCAUCCAUGGAUCUAGCGCGGGUGUUGUUAACACAUCCCAUGUGCCCUUCUGGAAAUAGAAAGUGGCGUCAGAUGUUAUUUUGGAAUCGUAGGCGCUAAUCUUGACAUAACUAGACAGAGGAUUGUUGUGGGGACUGUGUACUAGUGACAAAAAUUUUAUAAUGAGAUUGGUCAGAGAAACAAGCUCAAGCUGACAUCUCCCCUACUUUGAAGUCUCUAACUGGUACUCCAGUGACAGAAUAGAAAGCGGGAGAUGGUGUCUGGCUUCCUGCUGAUGCUGCUCUUCUCGCAGACUGAGAGAGUGCUUUUGGAGCCACCCUGCGGGUGGUCCGGGCUGUCUGAGGAGCAGCAGCAAGAGUGCUGGGAAGUGGACAGAGGCCUUUUACGACUUGUUCUGCCUCGUGUUCAUUUUCUCGGGAUUUUGUUCAGGAUGUGUAUGAAGACUUGCCUGGAUCUCUUCACAUGGUGGAGGCAGAGUCCAAGAACAAAAGGGAAAACAAAGGAAGAUGGCCCAAGUCCUUGGGCCCCUGCACCUCCAUGGGAGACCCGGAAGAAGCUUCAAGCUCCUGGCUUUGGAUUGGUGCAGCUCUGGCCAUUGCAGCCAUUUGGGGAGUGAACCAGCGAUGGAAGACCUCUCUCUCUCUCUCUCUCUCUCUCUCUCUCUCUCUCUCUCUCCCUCCCUGCCUCUGCCUCUGCCUCUCUGUAACUCUGUCUUUCAAAUAAAUAAAUAAAUCUUUAAAAAAAAAGUUGAUGUGGAUGAAUUGCCACUGUGGACACUUCAACAUUUUCUUAUUCUUUCUUAAAAUUGGUUAUCCAUUUGUAAACUAAUGAUUUCUUUGGGGAAUUUCUCCACAAACUUUUUCUGAUCUAUCAAUGACUUCACCAU